GGUUAAGUGACUAAGCGUACACGGUGGAUGCCUUGGCAGUCAGAGGCGAUGAAGGACGUAUUAACUUGCGAUAAGCCCAGAUUAGGUAGUAAAAACCAUUUGAGUCUGGGAUUUCCGAAUGGGGAAACCCAAUACCAUAAGGUAUUACUGUUGAGUGAAUACAUAGCUCAACAGGGCGAACCGGGGGAACUGAAACAUCUAAGUACCCCGAGGAAAAGAAAUCAACCGAGAUUCCGAAAGUAGCGGCGAGCGAAAUUGGACUAGCCCUUAAGCUUUACACGCGUUAGACGAACAGCCUGGAAAGGCCGACGAUACAGGGUGAUAGUCCCGUAGUUGACGACGUGUGUUCAGUGAAAUCGAGUAGGGCGGGACACGUGAUAUCCUGUCUGAAUAUGGGGGGACCAUCCUCCAAGGCUAAAUACUACUGACUGACCGAUAGUGAACCAGUACCGUGAGGGAAAGGCGAAAAGAACCCCUGUGAGGGGAGUGAAAUAGAACCUGAAACCGUGUACGUACAAGCAGUAGGAGCAGGCUUUGUCCUGUGACUGCGUACCUUUUGUAUAAUGGGUCAGCGACUUAUAUUCAGUGGCAAGGUUAACCAUCUAGGGGAGCCGUAGGGAAACCGAGUCUUAACUGGGCGUUCAGUCUCUGGAUAUAGACCCGAAACCAGGUGAUCUAGCCAUGGGCAGGUUGAAGGUUGAGUAACAUCAACUGGAGGACCGAACCGACUAAUGUUGAAAAAUUAGCGGAUGACUUGUGGCUAGGGGUGAAAGGCCAAUCAAACCUGGAGAUAGCUGGUUCUCCCCGAAAGCUAUUUAGGUAGCGCCUCGGACGAAUACUACUGGGGGUAGAGCACUGUUAAGGCUAGGGGGUCAUCCCGACUUACCAACCCUUUGCAAACUCCGAAUACCAGUAAGUACUAUCCGGGAGACACACGGCGGGUGCUAACGUCCGUCGUGGAGAGGGAAACAACCCAGACCGCCAGCUAAGGUCCCAAAUUACUACUAAGUGGGAAACGAUGUGGGAAGGCUCAGACAGCCAGGAUGUUGGCUUAGAAGCAGCCAUCAUUUAAAGAAAGCGUAAUAGCUCACUGGUCGAGUCGGCCUGCGCGGAAGAUGUAACGGGGCUAAGUA
rnacentral:rRNA from 1 species